rnacentral:antisense_RNA from 1 species
UUCUCUGGGCGGGCCUUGGCAGGGGAGCCUUCGGGCUCGCCGGCGUUCCCCUAUUCUCCGGUCUGCUAACCCUGCCUUGCGCCCGCCCACCCCU